CAACUCCAAAUUAAAUCAAGACGAGGUGAUCUCCAGGAAACAAUGAUUGAACUUCGGAUACACAACGGUGCCACUAUCCUUCAGAAGAAUGUCCUUAACCAAAACCAGACAUUUCUACAUUUCAUUGUCUUUCCUCAAUCAUAGAAGAUUCAUGAUUUCUUUUAAAACACAUAACUGAACUGCUGAGGACUUUCUCUCCCAUCAAGUUGAUU